CUACGGGAGGCUGCAGUGAGGAAUUUUGCGCAAUGGGGGAAACCCUGACGCAGCAACGCCGCGUGAGUGAUGAAGGCUUUCGGGUCGUAAAGCUCUGUCAAGUGGGAAGAACAUACAUAAGGCCAAUACCUUUAUGUACUGACGGUACCACUGAAGGAAGCACCGGCUAACUCCGUGCCAGCAGCCGCGGUAAUACGGGGGGUGCAAGCGUUAUUCGGAAUCAUUGGGCGUAAAGAGCACGUAGGCGGUUAUCUAAGUCAGAUGUGAAAGCCCGGGGCUUAACCCCGGAAGUGCAUUUGAUACUGGGAAACUUGAGUAUGGGAGAGGGAAGUGGAAUUCCCGGUGUAGAGGUGAAAUUCGUAGAUAUCAGGAGGAACACCGGUGGCGAAGGCGACUUCCUGGACCAAUACUGACGCUGAGGUGCGAAGGCGUGGGGAGCAAACAGGAUUAGAUACCCCUGUAGUC
rnacentral:rRNA from 1 species